rnacentral:lncRNA from 1 species
CAGUUAUUAAGUGGCAAAGACCGGAUUUGAAUCAAGAUAUCUGAUUUUUAAAAUUCACCUUGUUUCAAAGCAUUUUACUUCACCUAAGAAGUUAAUACACCUCACAACCAGAUAACUCCUUCUUUUCAAUUAGACUGUGUCUGUAUCUGGGAUCAGUUGCGAAGCAGAAGUAUGACGUGACUAAGGCCACCGCUGGGUUAGGAUACCCCCAUCCAAGAUUGAGAGCUGUACUAGCCUGGCAUGCAGACAGCAGCUUUAGAAUCAGAUCUGCCUUCUGGCGGCUUCCCACCUAGGAGCCAUGGGACCUUUGUGAAGUCACCAAUUGUGCUGUGGAUGCUUCAUUUGUGAAGGAGAACAGGACUGCCUUGUGAAAUUACGGAUGGUGCUACUAAAACAUAUCAAUAAUUUGAA